AAGUGCCGCCAUUUUUUGAGUGU
rnacentral:miRNA from 1 species